UACAGAGGUCUCAAGCGUUGUUCGGAUUCAUUGGGCGUAAAGGGUGCGUAGGUGGCGUCGUAAGUCGGGUGUGAAAUUUCGGAGCUUAACUCCGAAACUGCAUUCGAUACUGCGGUGCUUGAGGACUGGAGAGGAGACUGGAAUUUACGGUGUAGCAGUGAAAUGCGUAGAGAUCGGAAAGAACACCAACGGCGAAAGCACUCUGCUGGGCCGACACUGACACUGAGAGACGAAAGCUAGGGGAGCAAAUGGG
rnacentral:rRNA from 1 species